GCCAGUGGGACCUUCCAGUCCCUCUCAAAACCAUCUGCAGCAGUAGUCACCUCGGUGAUCCCCAUAAAGAGCUGGGUCUUACUGUGGACAAAGCCCCAUCAUUAACCUGUGCAUAUUUUUCUUGUGCAGCAACAGAAACAUGAGGUCGGUCCAGCCUGGGGCAGUUUCUCUCCAAGAGAAGAUGGAGGAAGCACAGCUAAGUGACUGGAAAUUUGACAUGCCUUCAUGUCAAGAGAUACCUGUACCUCUUGGAAACAACAAGCCCUUUGUGGUACCUCAGUGGGAUCAUCAGUGGGGCAUGGCCCUCUCUUGGACAACGGUGGAACUCUGGCAUUAUAUAGACGAAAAUGAAGGAUGCAGUCCACGUGUGAGGGCCAAAGAGGCCUGGGCGUCUCCAUUUUCUUGAGACUUCCAAUAUAUGGGGGAGGGGGAGAGGAAUGCAACUGAAACAGCUUUAUAAAAAUUAUAUGUGUUAUAUUUAUAUGUUGUAUUUUUAAAUGUUUAUGCUGAGUAAAUGAAUUCUUUACCUUUAAGAAUGUAAUAUUAUUUGCUACAUUAAGAUUAUCACAGAAUUGAUAAAAUGGGGGUUAUACACAAUAUUCUCGCACAAUGGAACACAAAUUUCGGGUUGUGUGAUGCACUUUAUCUUUUCCCCAUUUCUGUCAUGCAUCUUAGAAAUUGUGUGAAUGACGUCAUUUAGAGAUAGUCUCUUUUUAAAAUAAUUUAUUUUGAUUGUAGUUGAUUUACAGUGUUUCAGGAGAACAGUGUGACUCAGUCAUACAUACAUAUGUAUAUCUAUUAUAUUUCAGUUUCCAGCAUAGGUUAUUACAAGAUACCAACUAUAGUCUCCUGUGCCAUACAGUAAGUCCUUGUUUGUUUAUUUUAUAUAGUAAUGUGUAUCUAUUAAUCCCAAAUUCCUAAUUUAUCUCUUUGUCCCUUUCCCCUUUAGUAACCAUUAGUUUAGUUUCUAAGUCGGUGAGUCUGUUUCUGCUUUGUAAAUAAGUUCAUUUGUAUCUUUUUUUGAGAUUACACAUAUAAGUGAUAUGAUACAUCUUUGUCUGACUUACUCCACUUUGUAUGAAUAUAAAGUCUUAACAUGAGAUGCUUUGUGAGUUUGUGUGUCAAAUAACCCUUUCUGUCUUUCCAUUUCCACCCUGUUCCUCUAUAGACCAUAGCUUUCCAAAAAAUGUCAUUCUUGGGCAAGUUACUUACUUUUCUGGCUCUUGUUCUCAUUCCUAAAAUGCAUGUGUG
rnacentral:lncRNA from 1 species